rnacentral:rRNA from 1 species
GACGAACGCUGGCGGCGUGCCUAAUACAUGCAAGUCGAGCGAACCGCCGCGAGGUUCUUUCACUUGAUCAAAGUGAGGGACGAACGAGUAACUAACAGAUAACUAACCUACCAGAUUGGGAUGGAUAACGGUCACAAGCGACUACUAAGGCUACUUAGGACAAAGGCACGCUUCAUUAGUUAAAGAAAGUUUUCGCAAGCUAUCUCGAUGGAAUGGACCCGCGUUGCAUUAGCUAGUUGGUAGGGUAAUGGCCUACCAAGGCUAUGAUGCAUAGCCGACCUGAGAGGGUGAUCGGCCACAUUGGGACUGAGACACGGCCCAAACUCCUACGGGAGGCAGCAGUAGGGAAUCUUCCGCAAUGGACGAAAGUCUGACGGAGCAACGCCGCGUGAGUGAAGAAGGUCUUCGGAUCGUAAAGCUCUGUUGUUAGAGAAGAACAGAGGAUAGAGUAACUGUUAUGGGUGUGACGGUACCUAAUCAGAAAGCCACGGCUAACUACGUG